rnacentral:rRNA from 1 species
UAUCAUUAACUGAAUCCAUAGGUUAAUGAGGCGAACCGGGGGAACUGAAACAUCUAAGUACCCCGAGGAAAAGAAAUCAACCGAGAUUCCCCCAGUAGCGGCGAGCGAACGGGGAGGAGCCCAGAGCCUGAAUCAGCAUGUGUGUUAGUGGAAGCGUCUGGAAAGGCGCGCGAUACAGGGUGACAGCCCCGUACACAAAAGCGCAUGUGCUGUGAGCUCGAUGAGUAGGGCGGGACACGUGGUAUCCUGUCUGAAUAUGGGGGGACCAUCCUCCAAGGCUAAAUACUCCUGACUGACCGAUAGUGAACCAGUACCGUGAGGGAAAGGCGAAAAGAACCCCGGCGAGGGGAGUGAAAAAGAACCUGAAACCGUGUACGUACAAGCAGUGGGAGCACCCUUUGGGUGUGACUGCGUACCUUUUGUAUAAUGGGUCAGCGACUUAUAUUCUGUAGCAAGGUUAACCGAAUAGGGGAGCCGGAGGGAAACCGAGUCUUAAUUGGGCGUUAAGUUGCAGGGUAUAGACCCGAAACCCGGUGAUCUAGCCAUGGGCAGGUUGAAGGUUGGGUAACACUAACUGGAGGACCGAACCGACUAAUGUUGAAAAAUUAGCGGAUGACCUGUGGCUGGGGGUGAAAGGCCAAUCAAACCGGGAGAUAGCUGGUUCUCCCCGAAAGCUAUUUAGGUAGCGCCUCGUGAAUUCAUCUCCGGGGGUAGAGCACUGUUUCGGCUAGGGGGCCAUCCCGGCUUACCAACCCGAUGCAAACUGCGAAUACCGGAGAAUGUUAUCACGGGAGACACACGGCGGGUGCUAACGUCCGUCGUGAAGAGGGAAACAACCCAGACCGCCAGCUAAGGUCCCAAAGUCAUGGUUAAGUGGGAAACGAUGUGGGAAGGCCCAGACAGCCAGGAUGUUGGCUUAGAAGCAGCCAUCAUUUAAAGAAAGCGUAAUAGCUCACUGGUCGAGUCGGCCUGCGCGGAAGAUGUAACGGGGCUAAACCAUGCACCGAAGCUGCGGCAGCGACACUGUG